UGCUGUUUGUUUUGACAGGCAGACUUGAGUGACUUCUAGUGGCUGAAUGAUCAUACGCAUCCAAAUGUGCUUCCGCAUAUUCCACAUUUUUUGCCUAUGUGUGAACAUGCAAGACUUGCAAAAGCUGUUGGCUCAUGUCCCGUUUUCAGUCUGGCUUUACCCCGCUGUUAGAAGACACUUUCGACCACAGAAUAAAUUGUAUCUUAGCUCUCUGCAAAUAGCACAUUUCUAUGGUGGUGUCGGUAACUAUCCUAAAGACACUGCGUCUAGGUUCACAGAAAUGAAGAAAUAAUGCCAUGUGUUACGUUAAAACUAGGCCAGUAGAAUACUGAUGUCUAUUUGAAGAGAGGAAGUGCAAACAUGUUCCAGGAUCUGAUAUAAAUUGGGAGACACUAAG